rnacentral:rRNA from 1 species
UACAGAGGGUGCAAGCGUUGUUCGGAUUUAUUGGGCGUAAAGAGCUCGUAGGCGGUUCGGUAAGUCGGGUGUGAAAACUCUGGCUCAACCUGGAGACGCCACUCGAUACUGCUAUGACUUGAGUCUGGUAGGGGAUCACGGAAUUCCUGGUGUAGCGGUGAAAUGCAUAGAUAUCAGGAGGAACACCGGUGGCGAAGGCGGUGAUCUGGGCCAGUACUGACGCUGAGGAGCGAAAGCGUGGGGAGCGAACAGG